UACGUAGGGGGCUAGCGUUGUCCGGAAUCAUUGGGCGUAAAGAGCGCGUAGGCGGCUGGAAUAGUCCGGUGUGAAAUCCACAGGCUUAACCUGUGAAUGCCGCUGGAAACUGUCUGGCUAGAGUCCGGAAGAGGAGACUGGAAUUCCUGGUGUAGCGGUGGAAUGCGCAGAUAUCAGGAGGAACACCGGUGGCGAAGGCGGGUCUCUGGGCAGUAACUGACGCUGAGGAGCGAAAGCGUGGGGAGCGAACAGG
rnacentral:rRNA from 1 species